GAUAAGCACUGAAAGCAUCUAAGUGCGAAGCCCACCCCAAGAUGAGAUCUCCCUGCCGAUUCGUCGGCACUGAAGGCUCCUCGGAGAUGACGAGGUAGAUAGGCCGCAGGUGUAAGCGCAGCAAUGCGUUGAGCCGAGCGGUACUAAUAAGCCGUGCGACUUAACCAAUAA
rnacentral:rRNA from 1 species